UGUUCUGUGGCUUAGUAGGUUAAAGCACCGGACACCGAAUACGGAUUCGUCGGUUCGAAUCUCACCAGAACCC
rnacentral:tRNA from 1 species